GGUGAUAGAAAAGACGCCUUCUUGGUGCAAUAGAGAUUUGUACCACAAGGGAAAGAUGAAAUAACAAUGAAAAGCCAAGCAAUAGACAGCAAAGAUAAACCCUUGUACCUCUUGCAUCAUGAUUUAGGAAGAACGACCAAGCAAAAUGAAUUUAAGUUUGCCACCCCAAAACCCAAGUAAGCUACUUAGAAGCAACUACCCCUGAGAGAACCCUCCUCUGCUGCAAAAGACUGCAGUGACUUGUUAGUAGAGGUGAAAGGCCAACUGAGCUGGGUGAUAGCUGGUCGCUUGUGAAAUUAAUCUAAGUUCUCUCUUAAUUCUCCUCCAUGGACACCCAAUCUAGCCACCAUGUAAUGAAUCAAGAGCACUUUAAAGGGGGUACAGCUCCUUUAAAAAAGAACACAGUCUCUCCUAGUGGAUAACCACUCAACUCCUGCCCUCCAAACUGUGGGCCUUCAAGCAGCCACCAACAAAGAGUGCAUCAAAGCUCUACACCUAAAAAUCCAAAACCAAUAUGACUUCCUUCUCACCAGGAAGCCAACCUAUAACAAUAGGAGAAUCAAUGCUAAAAUGACUAACUGGGGACUCUCCCCGUCUCAAGCACAAUCUUAUAUCAUUACAUUAUUAACAGAGUACAACUAAUACCUCGAUUUUAACAAGACUGAAUAUUAAACCCACCCUGUUAGCCCAACUCAGGAGCACCCACUAGAAAGAUUAAAAUCUGUAAAAGGAACUAGGCAAGCCCAAGACCCACCUGUUUACCAAAAACAUAGCCUUCAGCGAACCACAUGUUGAAGGUGGUGCCUGCCCAGUGACACCACGUUUAACAGCCAUGGUAUCCUAGCUGUGCGAAGGUAGCACAGUCAAUUGUCCCAUAAAUCGAGACUUGUAUGAAUGGCUAAAUGAGGUCUUAACUGUCUCCUACAGAUAAUCCAUGAAAUAGAUCCUCCUGUGCAAAAGCAGGAAUAAAUACAUAAGGUGAGAAGACCCUGUGGAACUUAAAAAUCAGCGGCCACUGCACAUAAACCUAAGCCUACCAGGCCUACCACCCCCAAAACGCUGUCCCGCAUUUUUUGGUUGGGGUGACCUUGGAGAAAAACAGACCCUCCAAAAAUAGGACCACACCUCUUAACCGAGAGCAACCCCUCAACGUACUAAUAGUAACCAGACCCAAUAUAAUUGACCAAUGGACCAAGCUACCCCAGGGAUAACAGUGCCAUCUCCUCCAUGAGCCCAUAUUGACAAGGACGUUUACGACCUCGAUGUUGGAUCAGGCCAUCCUAAUGGUGCAGCUGCUAUUAAGGGUUUGUUUAUUCAAUGAUUAACACUCCUAUGUGAUCUGAGUUCAGACCGGAGCAAUCCAGGUCAGUUUCUAUCUAUGAUGAACUUUCCCCAG
rnacentral:rRNA from 1 species